GACACACACGCUGCCCUUCAAUGCGAGAAGAACAAAAGCAGCCCCGCGUUCUUGCUUCCCCGUGGUGAACGCUAUGUGCACACAAGCCCAGCUCUUUUGCUACUCUCUCUUUUUUGGGAUGAAGCCAUAUGAAGUUGGAAAUGAGGCUUCUAUCUUAGAGUCCCCAUUAAAUGCUUUCAAGCUAAUACCUGCUGGUGGCGGCAAUUCGCGUCCUAGAUGGAGUCCUAAUGAGCACUCGCGGUGGUGCCCGAUCUGAUUGAAGCCCAUUACGCCUCCAUGAAGGGAGUGCUGCCUCAUCCCUGCAGCAGGCAGAUGUCAGAAGCACAUUCGCUUUGGAAGAUGACACUAAUUUGCUCAAAGAGGGAAGCGGGCUCCCCAGACUUUCAGCGUAUUAGUCCGUGAAAGCAAGGCCAGGAUUCGGCAUGGUCUCAAAAGCAAGAGUUUUUACCAGAGGAAAAAAAAAACAAAAAAAAAAAUACAAGGGCUGACUAGCAUACGGCAUUCACACCAAACGGCCUCCAAAGGACCUAGUUGCCCUGUUCUUGACAUCAGGACCAGGUCUGGACCAGGAGAGAGGACUGCUGUGACAGCAGAUGGUGACAAGGCUGUUUGAAAAUGCCUGGUGGCUCCUGAGACUCCAGUGCUUGUGAUUUGCCCUCUUAUUCCUUCAUACGGGCAAGCUCGUGCUUCCUUCAGUGUUGAUGUUCCUUGAACAAUUGGUCCCAGGGCUUUGGGCCUGUGGUGAAGCAUGUCUUGGUGAAAGCCUAUGGCGGAGCAAAAUCUCCUACUUCACUCAAGGAAAAGAUAGGAAGGAAGAGACUGGAGGUGCCAUUAUCUCUUUCCAGGAAGACCUGAAGACCCCUCAAUAAACUCCACCUCCCAAUUGCACCAAGCAGGGGAACAAGCCUUUCCAAGUGAAUCUUGAGGGAUGUGAUGAUCCCUGUUACAUCAACUUGACACGAUCUGGGAUCAUCCAGGAGACAACUACUGUGAGGGGUGUUCUGGGCUCUGGGCAUGCCUUUGAGGGAUUGUCUUUCCCAGGUUAACUGAUGGAAGAAAACCUAACCCUGGGCAGGACCAUUCGCUACGCACGGGCCCUGGACUGUACACAUUGGAGAAAAUGAACCGAGCACCGGUAGUCAUCACUCUGUUUCCUGACUCUGGGUGUGACGAGACAAGCUGCCUCAAGCGCCUGCUGCCAUUACUUCUGAGUCGUGAUGACUGCACCCCCAAACUGAGAGCCAAAAGAAACCCUUCAGUUGCAGUCAUCAGGGUAUUUUAUCCUGGUUACGGGAGAAGAAACCAAGAUGGUGACAUCCAUACCGUCUAUAGUAAACACUUAUGGAGCCUGGGAAGAAAUGACUAAAGACGUAAGAGAGAACUCAGAAGGAAGCAGUUCCCCUGAGAGCGAGUCAGGAGACUUUCUGGAAGGAGGGGACUCACAUUGUAUAAUGCCUCAGGAAGAGCCGGGGAAAGAUGUGCUUGUAGACCUUGGGAAAAAGAAGGAAACCAGAAAUAUGGCCCAUGAAGAACAAGUCAGGAGCUGAGAAUGGGCACUGCUGGUUCAUACCAAGAAACCGGAGGAAACAGGCAAAGGUGGACCGGUGGUAUUGCCUCAGUUUCCCAAAUGUAACCCCUGAGCCCCUGGUGAUCUGCUUUUGUGACCUGUGGAGUUUUCUGCCUAUUGUUCUACGGCCUUGUAGUCGAUACUGUGUGGCUGGUUAUUUAUUUUUAAUUUCUGUUACCUCUGUUUGUCUGUCUGUCUAGUGUGUUUGUACCUGUGUGGGCACACCACACUACUACACCCCUGUGGGGCAGAGCCCAGCCUGUGAGAGUGAGUGCUCCCCUUCCACCACGUGCGUCCUGGGGUAGAUUGUUGCACUUGGUACCUGCACCGGCCCCACUGUGUGGUUAAAAAAAAAAACAAUUUGAAAAUAAGGUAAAGUUGCUCAUUUUCCUAGUAAGUUGUGGGAUAGUCAGUCUUGAGUUCUCAGCUGGGGUUUUGUUCCCCCCAAGAGGAUUUCCUGGUCUUUCUGCAGAUCAUCUCAAGGCAGUGGUGCCAUGUCAACUCAGACAGCAGAGUCCCUGGAGGCCUGCCUUGUGGUUGAGUUCUCAGGGAAGAUUCCUUCACACCCACAAUCAAAUCCAAAUGCAGGUGAUUCCCAUUGGAAUCAUGUGAAUUAAAAAGACUCCUUUAAAGUUGACAGAACACAGGCCAGCGAGACGCCUCUCAAAGGAAGUCUCCAUGAAAACGAAAAGGACAUUUUUCAGAAACUGGUAAGCUGGAGUCUCCGACCUGCGCAAAGACGCCCGACCUGUGCUCCAGGGAAUGCAUCACCCAGGAGGCACCUGGAGAUGUCCCGUCUCACCGUGAUGCCCAGCUCUUGUGCAACUUUUCUCUGCAGAGCCUUUGCAAUGCCCUACUUUCUUUGAAGCAUUGUGGAUUUCUUAAGAUAUUGCAAUCUACAUUAAAAUGUUCUUCUUGUGAGAAUUACAUGUCGAAUUAGCACAUCUGGGGCAAAGCUUGCCAAAUCGGGAAGGAAAUUGCCAUGCUAUCCCAACAGAUAGCUCUUCUGGGGAGCCGUGGUUCUGGCUCAUCUGGGGCACCUCCUUCCUCUGGGCCCGUUUGUAGACAAUUGGGUUUCCCUGGCAUGUUGUCCUGCAUACCCGGAAUCUCAAGUACAGCCAGCAGAGACACCUUCAUUCUCCCCAAAAAAGGGAACACUUUCUGGCCAGUCUUCAUCCUUGGAUGAAUGGGCAUAUCUGUAGUUUUGAUGACUUGGGAUUCCUAGUCGCUUUCUCCUGCUUUCUUACCGUGUUUGGUGGCUUGAAUAGUUCAUGUGACUGCUCUCUCUUCAAAAGCUACAGAUGAGUCAGAGAACAAAGCCUGAGGGAGAGCUUUUAUGAUGUGUAACCUCAUUCAAGGUGCCAUCUAGAAGCUUCUUUCUCUACUUAUCCUCCCCCAAACUUCCAGGUGGCCUGUCCCCUUGACAAAUUGCUGCCAGAAAGAGAUCACUUCCUCAGUAAGACCCCUGGAACCUCUAGCUUGAACCUGAUGACCCUCUAGACGUUUCUUUAGGAUCAGCAGUAGACAUUUGAUGUCUUGUGAUGCUGGGGAUGGGAGUCAGAGAGACAUGCAUGCUAGGCCAGUAAGUCUUCCACCACAGAGCUGUACUUCAAGUUCCUGAUGAAUUAGUUUUUGUCUAGAAUGCCUUUUAAAUUCUUUGGGAAUGUCACUCAGCUUUGUGACCUUCCUUGGAGGUGGGGGGAUCCUUCCCUCUUGGAAGCUGUUUUAUUGAGAAACUGUGAGGCUAAAAUUGUUGUCUGGACACAGUGACGUGGGCAGGCAAACCAAGCUCUGUCCUUCAGAUCUGUCCCGGGAGAACUUGACUCUUGAGAGGAGUGGUGGAGGACUGGAGAGCAUCAGAGCCUUUCAUUCUGUAGUAGGCCCUUCCUGGCUGUCCCGGUCUAUAGCAUGGCCUUUGCCACUGCCUUUCUCAAGGGGAGGCACACUGAUGUAAACUGUCUUCUUCCAAUAUACUAGCUUUAUACUGAAUUGAACCAGACUCCGUUACUGUUGCUAUAACAAAAGAACCCUCAAAUAAGCCACCCACCUCCAAUUCUCUUGUCUCAGUCCUUUUCUAGGCUUUAUCUCCACUAAGGCUCGUUAACAACAUUGACGCCCAACAAAAUACCGUGAACCGGAAAGCUUGUAAACAGUGACAGGCAUUUCUCAUAUUUCUAGAGGCUUCUAGAGGAAGACCAAGAUUCAACACCAGUGGGUUUGGGUUUGGUGUCUGGUGAGGCUCUUGUCUCAUAGUGGCACCUUCUAGCUGUAGCCUCACAUAAUGGAAGGAACGAGCCACCUCUCUGAGGUUCUUUAUCACAUUCACAAGGGAUCCUCUCAACACCCUGAGGACUCGUUUUCAGCAUACGAAUUUUGACUAAAACUCAAAAUCCAACCACAGACUGCAAGGCCCACACUGGUCUGGUCACCAGCAGCCGCUCCAUCCCACCUUCCCACCACCCUUCUCCAUGUCUCCCGACUUCGCGCCCUCUUCGCCUUCCUUGAGCGUCGCACGCUUACUGCUGGGUUUUCGCACAUGCUCCCUUGUGCCUGCAGGGUUCCUUGAGUGGGCCUCAAGCAUCGUUCCCAGCUUCUGGCCAGGUUCCAUGGGUCAGAAGCUUUCCUGGUUCCCACCUGAUACGUCUCUGUCAUAACACUUUGUAAUUAGAGUUAGCCUCCUGUGUGCGUUGUUUUCACACACAUGGAUCCAACCAACGAUGGAUCAAAAACCUUUGAACAACAAUCCGUGUCGGUACUGAGCACAGACAGACUUCCUUUCUGUGCGAUUAUCCCCCCGCCCUCAAUCUACACAGCAGUCACGGUGUAUUAGGUAACACAGCCAAUUUAAAGAUGAUUCGAAGUGUCUGGAGGAUGUGUAUAGUUACCGCGCCAUAUUACAGGUGAGACAAGUAUCUGCAGACUUGAUGUUUACAGGGAUCCUGGAGCUGGUGCCCCAUGGACACUGAAGGAUGACUGUGUAUAUCUGUGUGGAUUAUCUGAUCCUUGCUUGUCUGCCUUGCUGACUAAUAAGCUUCUCAGAAGUGGGAUCCAUGUGUUUCCUCUGUGACUGUAUUCUGACAUAGCACUUGAUGUGUACAAAACAUUUUCUGGAAUAAAUGGAUUUCAAAGAGUCAUAUCUCAUCUGAGAUAUGGCCCUGUGUUCCCAGUCUUCUUCUCUUAUG